AGAUGUGAGGGCGAUCUGGUUGCAACCUCGGUCACCCCAUUGAUCGUAAGGGUUGAUUCAGCUAAUCUGGCUGGCGAGGCAGGUGUCCACUUCCUCCCUCAACACUCCAUGUGCGUCCCUUCUGAAGCUAUGCUCUCUGUCAAAGAGGAUGGCCUUCCCAGAGACAGGAGAGGACCAUUCUUUGGUCAAGGAUAUAUGAGUAGCUGCAGUCCCCUGCUAGAACUUCCAAAUAAGUUCUCAAGGCUCAUAAACUCUUAAAGGUCAUUGUAUGAUUAUUAAUUAGCCUAACUUCAGUAUUAUAUCUCAGGAAUUAGGCAGGCUUGGGG
rfam:Mustela putorius furo unplaced genomic scaffold scaffold00136, whole genome shotgun sequence.